UACGUAGGGGGCAAGCGUUGUCCGGAAUCAUUGGGCGUAAAGAGCGUGUAGGCGGCCAGGUAGGUCUGCUGUGAAAACUCGAGGCUCAACCUCGAGACGUCGGCGGAAACCAUCUGGCUAGAGUCCGGAAGAGGAGAGUGGAAUUCCUGGUGUAGCGGUGAAAUGCGCAGAUAUCAGGAAGAACACCCGUGGCGAAGGCGGCUCUCUGGGACGGUACUGACGCUGAGACGCGAAAGCGUGGGGAGCAAACAGG
rnacentral:rRNA from 1 species